rnacentral:siRNA from 1 species
AGGAUUACGGGCCAUUGCCUUCC